rnacentral:misc_RNA from 1 species
CGCACAUUGCGCCCUUUGGUAUUCCGAGGGGCACGCCUGUUCGAGCGUCAUUUAAACCAUCAAGCCCUGCUUGGUCUUGGACGUGGUCGAGUGACCCGUCCGUAACCCGUUGGCGGUGCAGUCCGGCUUCAAGCGUAGCAAGAAUUUCGCUUCAGGAGUCCGUGGCGGCGUCUGCCAGGAAAUAACUACCCUAAAGUUUGACCUCGGAUCAGGUGAGGAUACCCGCUGAACUUAA